AGGGUUAGGUUGAAUGUGUCAGCCAAUGGGCAUUGGAGGGUUGCCUCACCCUCGGACGGGCGAAACUGACAGCACUUUAGAACUAUCCAAACCACUGGG